AACGUAGGAGGCAAGCGUUAUCCGGAUUUACUGGGCGUAAAGCGCGUGCAGGUGGUCUCGUAAGUCGGACGUGAAAGCUCCCGGCUCAACUGGGAGAGGUCGUUCGAUACUGCAAGACUGGAGGGCAGUAGAGGGAGGUGGAAUUCCGGGUGUAGCGGUGAAAUGCGUAGAUAUCCGGAGGAACACCAGUGGCGAAGGCGGCCUCCUAGGCUGUCCCUGACGCUAAGACGCGAAAGCUAGGGGAGCGAACGGG
rnacentral:rRNA from 1 species